CCUACGGGAGGCAGCAGUGAGGAAUAUUGGUCAAUGGACGAGAGUCUGAACCAGCCAAGUCGCGUGAAGGAUGACUGCCCUAUGGGUUGUAAACUUCUUUUAUAUGGGAAUAAAUUGUUCUACGUGUGGGUGUUUGUAUGUACCAUAUGAAUAAGGAACGGCUACAUUCGUGCCAGCAGCCGCGGUUAUACGGAGGGUCCGAGCGUUAUCCGGAUUUAUUGGGUUUAAAGGGAGCGUAGGUGGAUUGUUAAGUCAGUUGUGAAAGUUUGCGGCUCAACCGUAAAAGUGCAGUUGAAACUGGCAGUCUUGAGUACAGUAGAGGUGAGCGGAAUUCGUGGUGUAGCGGUGAAAUGCUUAGAUAUCACGAAGAACUCCGAUUGCGAAGGCAGUUCACUGGACUGCAACUGACACUGAGGCUCGAAAGUGUGGGUAUCAAACAGGAUUAGAUACCCUUGUAGUC
rnacentral:rRNA from 1 species